rnacentral:lncRNA from 1 species
UAAUAAAGAGAGGAGAUUCCUCGGGCUACCUUUGAAGAGAUUGAUGUGGCGGUCCUUUCUGAAAUGUGUUGAUGUUGACAUGUUGUAGGUAGAUGCGGUGGUAUUCAGAGCCGGCACGUGGGUGCACCUAACCCUACUAACAGGACCGCGUCACAAGUCAGCGGGGACUUUAUUGGUAAAGGCAGGGGGCACAAAGUUGUCAUUUUCUUGGUGGGGUCGGAGGUAAGUCGGGAAGGGUGUCGCUGAGGGAUGGAGGAUUGAUUGGAAAGGGGCCACUCAGCAGGAUCCCUCUCUUACCUGUUCAUUUCCAGAUCUUUUCACAUUCAGGACUCCCCCACCCCAACAGUGUAAAGGAGGUAUAUUUUACUAAAAAAAGGGGUGACUGCCCUGUAAUCAGGGUUCAGGUCUCUUUCCCUUUUCUCCUCCCUGUAUUGGCCCCCUUAACAGCACCCGACAUAGUCACUCUGCAGAGUAGACUCUGGCCCCUCCGCAGCCUUGAUACCACAGAUCCCCUACCCAACGAGGAAGCACACGGCCCGUGAAGAAACUAGAGGGAGCACACAUGAGGAAUUCAAAGCACUGACCUCUUACUCAGAACCAAUUAUCUGGGAGGCGGAAACCUGAGGACUGUUCAUAUCUGCUUAGAAGGAUGUCCAGGUUGCUCAGGUCCACUUGUAUCAGCUUCUCCUGUGGCUGGGGCUCCUGGCCAAUUCCUCUGCAAGCGCAGCUGCAAAAGCCAAGCAUGAGCCAUCACUGCACAAAUCUCUAUUGGUGUGUGAAAUCUU